rnacentral:rRNA from 1 species
CACGCCCUAAACGUUGCACACUAGAUGUAAGGGGUAUCAAUUCCCCUUGUGUCGUAGCUAACGCAUUAAGUGUGCCGCCUGGGGAGUAUGCUCGCAAGGGUGAAACUCAAAGGAAUUGACGGGGGCCCGCACAAGCGGUGGAGCAUGUGGUUUAAUUCGAUGAUACGCGAGGAACCUUACCAGGGCUUGACAUCAUGGUGACAGGUUGUGAAAGCAACCCUUCUUCGGACACCAUGACAGGUGC